rnacentral:rRNA from 1 species
CCUACGUGGUGCAGCAGUGGGGAAUAUUGCGCAAUGGGCGAAAGCCUGACGCAGCGACGCCGCGUGAGGGAUGAAGGUCUUCGGAUCGUAAACCUCUGUCAGCAGGGAAGAACGGUCACUGUGCUAAUCAGCAGUGAAUUGACGGUACCUGCAAAGGAAGCACCGGCUAACUCCGUGCCAGCAGCCGCGGUAAUACGGAGGGUGCGAGCGUUAAUCGGAAUUACUGGGCGUAAAGCGCUCGUAGGCGGUAUGUCAAGUCAAGGGUGAAAUCCCCGCGCUCAACGUGGGAACUGCCUUUGAAACUGGCAAACUGGAGUGUGUGAGAGGAUAGUGGAAUUCCAGGUGUAGGAGUGAAAUCCGUAGAUAUCUGGAGGAACAUCAGUGGCGAAGGCGACUAUCUGGCACAUAACUGACGCUGAGGAGCGAAAGCGGGGGUAGCAAACAGGAUUAGAUACCCUAGUAGUC